GGUCAUUGAUAAUUUCUUCGGAUUCCGCAUGUCAAAGUAAAUAUUUAUCGCUGAAUACGCAUGUUAAUUGCAGACCGAAUAAGCUGUACCAUCAGCAACAAUUCAGUAUAAAACAACAAUUCCGUAAAGUUGGAAUCGGUGCGAUGUUUCUGUACUUCAUGUUCUUCAUUACUCUUUUGGCUUUAGUAAGCCAAGGUCUCUGCACACAGGCAGAAUACGAACGGUGCAUUCAAGCUUGCGGCAUGUUAUCCGACUAUGCAAUGUAUACGUGCUAUGAGUCGUGCCAAACAUGGUUGACGUCAUAAUUUCGCUGCAGUUGUUGUUACUGUUCAAAUUCAUUCAAAUAAAAGUGCAUACCUAUUUCCUUAUUACAAUGUUGUGUCAGCAUUUGUCAUCGAUGACCUGUCGUCCAUAUUCUUGAACUGGAAUGGAUCUUCCGAAGGCAUUUAAAAUCUGAUUUGGAUUACAAAAACUUGUUAGUGGACGCUUCUUCAAAGAAAAGUGUUCGAUCAAUAUUUUUUGUUAUUAUAAUACCUUGGUAUAUCCAGUUUCGUAAUGUUCAAAAAUGCCCAGAGCGCUGUUUCGUAGCGUUUUGGGAUUUUGUAAAUAUUCUACUUCCAAAAGUCGAUGGGGUGGUUAUCAAAAAAGUCUUGUUUUGAAAUUUUUGAUCUAUCGCCAUUUUGUUGUUUGAAAAAAUAAAAAACAAUUGCAAAUACAAAU